GGGAGGAUGGCCGAGUCGGUUAUGGCGCCAGGUGUUAGUACUUGCAUCUUCAUCUCAAAUUGAAAAUUGCUAAUAGCAUAUAGUAAGGUCUACCUUGACAUAUUCUCCUGGAAGCUCCUGGUGGGGAAACCCGCGCGAGUUCGAAUCUCGCUCCUCUCA
rnacentral:tRNA from 1 species